rnacentral:rRNA from 1 species
AAUCAACGCUGGCGGCGUGCCUCAGACAUGCAAGUCGAACGCGAAAGUCCCCUUCGGGGGGCAAGUAGAGUGGCGCACGGGUGAGUAACACGUAGGUAAUCUACCUUUGGAUGGGGAAUAACGAACCGGAAACGGUUGCUAAUACCGCAUAAUGCAGCGGCACCUAAUGGUGACAGUUGUUAAAGCGGGGGAUCGAAAGACCUCGCGUCUGAAGAGGAGCCUGCGGCGGAUUAGCUAGNGGUAAGGUAACGGCUUACCAAGGCAACGAUCCGUAGCCGGCCUGAGAGGGCGGUCGGCCACACUGACACUGACAUACGGGUCAGACUCCUACGGGA